AUUUUUUAUUUUAUUUUCCAACACACAAUCAUUUCCCCAGCAAUCAAAAGAUUUUUAAAAUGUUGCAUUCCACUUGAACAAUAUAGAGGUUCUGUUUAGAUAAACUUUUUUUAUAAACACUUAUGGGAGACGAAAAUAAAUACAGAUAUGCUUACAGUCCUCAAGCAGAUAUGCUAGGCCCUUUGCAGCACCUAUUGCAAUCUUUAGCCUCUUGGCCCAAUGUAACACUGCCAUUCCACUUUCUGUAAUAAUACACAUAUGAUGAUGAGAAGCAAAUGAAAUACAGAGAAAACACGAACUCCAUUAUCAUUUUCGAAGAAAAAAUCAAGGGAAACUCACGUUACCAUGCAAGUGAUGAUGAAGUGUUCCAUUAGGAACAUACUCAUAGAUAACAGUUCUUUGCCGCUCAUAUAUGCAAUAACCAACUAAUGCCACCAAAUGUCGAUGAUGAACACAGCUGAUGAUCUCCACUUAAGCCUUCAAUUCCCUUUCUCCCUGUCCACUGCCAGCCUUAAGCUGCUUUACUACAACUGUUUUUCCAUUUGGCACCCAACCUUUGUAAACACACCCAAACCCUCCUUCCCCAAUAAGCUUUUGAUUAGAAAAUGCAUUGGUCAUUUCCAUAACCAUUUCAUAGGUAAAAAUUAUUUGAACACUUUUGAACUGAGCCGAGUCGUAAGAAGCGCCUAAAUGUUGCAUGCUCAUAUUCCCAUUUCCAUAAUUGUUUGCAAGGGGAGGCGAUGGGAUAGGCUGCUGAACAUAGUAAUGCCCAUUAGCACCUGGUGGCCAUCACAAUUAGACAAGAAAAUCAAAUGUAGCAAGGCAAUGAAUAAGUAAAGAGAAAUGCUGAUUGGUAUGAAAACUUAGUGAAAGACAUGUAUGAAAGUGAAAUUUCUCUCCCAGGAUAAAAAAUUAUUUGUUACAAAUUUCCGGAAAAAAUUAUUUGUUACAAAUUAUUUAUUGGGAGGUUACACAAUUAUUUUUUUUAAUCCCCAAAAUAUCUUUUUAUCCUUAUUCUGGAUUUUACCAUGUUAUUAAUGUAGUUAGGACAUUUAUGUUUAGUUACUAAAUCUGUUGAUUAUUUAAGUUAGUUACAAAAGUUAAACUUUGUAUAAGCAUGGCAUUUACCUAAUAAUAAUAGUUUGUUGUACAAUGAAGCAUAUCAAUACAAAUCCAUCUUUCAUCUUUAAGCUCUCUAAGACUGAUAUCUUAUACAUAUAAUUAUUAUUACUCCAAUGAAUGAAUCCUACUAGUAAGCAAGGUUGUAAGUGAGCUAAACUGCUCAUGAAUUAGUCAGAAAUCAAUUCGUUAAAUAUUUCAGUCAAACUCAAUUCUCAACCAAAUUUCUUGCAUAUCAUCUAUUACUUCCUCCUAUUUCUUUUGUGAUCAUAUGAUCCACUACCUUCUCCACUCCUAACAUACCCUCCACCCUCACUUGUGCUACCACCACUAACAAAGCCUUCACAACCUCCACCAUCACUAGUGUAACUACCACCAUCGAAGCCUUCACAAACUCCUCCAUUAGGAACUGCUCCUCCUCUAACUUUGAAAUCCAACAACCCUUCUUCAUCAGGUCUAUGAUAUAAGUAAUUACUAUAGAAGUUAGGAGAAAUCCUUUGUAAAUUGUGUCAAAAUAAAGUUUAUUAUUGAUUGAUUGAUUUUUUUUUUCAAUGUUAUACAUAGAAUCUUGUAUUUUAUAUUUGUUUUUAUCCAACAAAUGAGAGUUACGUACAGAAAGUAAAAGCCUAAUUAAUGUUAAGAUUAUUUUACUAAUGUGGUUGCAUGUCUUUGUAGGCUGAUAGAGUUAUUUUGUCUUUAAAACAUGAGAAACCUCAUUGAACAUACCAAAACUGUCCCUAUUGAUGAAGAGUACUUCAUGUUGCAUCGGACAUGACAAACCUCAUUGAACCUAUAUAAUUGCUUUAGAUAUAAAUAUAUCAACAUAGUUGCCUUGCAUGGUUUUCAAUCAUUUGAAUAAGGCUUAAUAGCUUCAAUUUUGCCCGCCUUUGUAUUGUUUUACUUCUUGUUUUGAUUGUUUCCCCCAUUCAUGGUACAAAUUAUAUCAAGGACUUCAGAAAUACAUAUUUUCUGUACCAUUUUACUACAUCCCUGCACUCAUUGUGGUUGUUAGUCAGCAUCUUUCGAGACGAAAGAUGGAUCAAAGUUGAAUGAAAGCAUCACGCAUUAGUGACGAGUAUAGGAAUGGGGUCGAACAAUUUCUACAAUUUACACAACUUAAUGCUGAAAGUUUGAGGGGAGAUUUUUUUUGCCCAUAUGUUCAAUGUUUGAAUGGGAGACGACAGUCAAUAAAUGAAAUCAGAUCACAUCUUAUAUGUCACGACAUCAUUCCGAAUUACACAAAAUGGAUAUGGCAUGGGGAAUUGCCCGACAUUCCAACUGUUUCUCGUACUCAACCGGUACAUGAAGACACCGAAGAUCGUAUAGAGGACAUGAUCCG